rnacentral:lncRNA from 1 species
ACAAACACACACGGGAAACCGACUGCCAAUCGCUGGACUUACGUCAUACUCCGAACAAACAAACACACACGGGAAACCAACUGCCAAUCGCUGGACUUACGUCAGACUCCAAGCAAACACACAAGAAGAAGGGUCUCGAUUGCAACUAGGGCAAGAGAAAGGGAAGGUCUCAAUCGCAACAAGGGCGAGAGAAAAGGAUUAGUGUUAGUUGUCAGUCAAACUCGGCAAGACAUCGCAUCUCG